ensembl:snRNA U6 U6 spliceosomal RNA
GUGCUAGCUUUGGCAGCACAUAUACUAAAAUUGGAAUGGUAGAGAGAAGAUUAGCAUGGCCCUUGUGCAAGGAUGAUGUACAAAUUCAUGAAGUAUUCCAUAUUUUU